rnacentral:rRNA from 1 species
GAUGAACGCUAGCGACAGGCUUAACACAUGCAAGUCGAGGGGCACCACACGUAGCAAUACCGGGUGGCGACCGGCGCACGGGUGAGUAACGCGUAUGCAACUUGCCUAUCAGAGGGGGAUAACCCGGCGAAAGUCAGACUAAUACCGCAUGAAGCAGGGGCCCCGCAUGGGGAUAUUUGCUAAAGAUUCAUCGCUGAUAGAUAGGCAUGCGUUCCAUUAGGUUGUUGGCGGGGUAACGGCCCACCAAGCCAUCAACGGAUAGGGGUUCUGAGAGGAAGGUCCCCCACAUUGGAACUGAGACACAGUCCAAACUCCUACGGGAGGCAGCAGUGAGGAAUAUUGGUCAAUGGACGAGAGUCUGAACCAGCCAAGUAGCGUGAAGGAUGACUGCCCUAUGGGUUGUAAACUUCUUUUAUACGGGAAUAAAGUUAGGCACGUGUGCCUUUUUGUAUGUACCGUAUGAAUAACGAUCGGCUAACUCCGUGCCAGCAGCCGCGGUAAUACGGAGGAUCCGAGCGUUAUCCGGAUUUAUUGGGUUUAAAGGGAGCGUAGGCGGAUGCUUAAGUCAGUUGUGAAAGUUUGCGGCUCAACCGUAAAAUUGCAGUUGAUACUGGGUGUCUUGAGUACAGUAGAGGCAGGCGGAAUUCGUGGUGUAUCGGUGAGAUGCUUAGAUAUCACGAAGAACUCCGAUUGCGAUGGCAGCUUGCUGGACUGUAACUGACGCUGAUGCUCGAAAGUGUGGGUAUCAAACAGGAUUCGAUACCUUGGUACUCCACACAGUAAACGAUGAAUACUCGCUGUCUGCGAUAUACAGUAAGCGGCCAAGCGAAAGCGUUAUGUAUUCCACCUGGGGAGUACGCCGGCAACGGUGAAACUCAAAGGAAUUGACGGGGGCCCGCACACGCGGAGGCACAUGUGUUUUAUUUUGAUGAUACGCGAGGAACCUUACCCUCGCUUAAAUUGCAAAUGAAUGUUCUGGCCCCAGAUCAGCCGCAAGGCAUUUGUGAAGGUGGUGCAUGGUUGUCGUCAGCUCGUGCCGUGAGGUGUCGGUUUAAGUGCCAUAACGAGCGCAACCCUUCUCGAUAGUUACCAUCAGGUUAUGCUGGGGACUCUGUCGAGACUGCCGUCGUAAGAUGUGAGGAAGGUGGGGAUGACGUCAAAUCAUCACGCCCCUUACGUCCGGGGCUACACACGUGUUACAAUGGGGGGUACAGAAGGCAGCUACAUGGCGAGGUGAUGCUAAUCCCUAAAACCUCUUUCAGUUUGGGUUGGAGUUUGCAACACUGAAUCCAAGAAGGUGGAUUUGGUUGUAAUUGCGCAUCAGGCACGGCGCGGUGAAUACGUUCCCGGGCCU